rnacentral:lncRNA from 1 species
UACAUGAACCUACGGCUUUCUUUUCCUCCAGGUCCCACGCCUGUUCUUCUGAAGCCUGUAAACUUCAAAUAGAUCCCCACCAUCUCGCACAACAGGCGUUUCACAUGGAUUUCUGAGCGGUUAAGGGUCUGUACCCAGAAGGACACCCAGCAAGAGUGCGUUGCUGUUACUGCCUGGCGGGGGACAGCCGCCUGCGGGCGAGGGCACUGGUGUCCUCUCAGGAGAGACCCGGGUCCACGUGGGGAAUCAGAGUGCUGUUUGGCAGGACCUUCUCUUCUCUGCCUCUGCCAGGCCCACCUUCUGGGGGUGUGAGUCUGAUUCCGACU